AAAGGUCAUCCUAAAAUAGGCACGCAAGUAGGCAAAUAAGCUCACAAAUAAGAUAAUUUUAGAUGAUGAUAAGAGGCCAAAAGCAAAUAAAACAAGGCAAGAGCGUAACAGAGUGAACAGCAUCAGAGUGGGUGUUCAAGAAUAGUCUCUGUAGAGUGACCGCAUGAGGAUAAGAAGUCAGCAAGAGGACAAGGAGCCAGCAAGAGGAGAUGCUUGGGAGGCCAGCCUUGGAAGGACUGAAGACAGAAGAGCUGCAGGCAGAGUUUGCCUUUUACUUGCCACAGUGGACGCAUGCUUGUGGUGAAAGGGCUCCAGGACCGCUUGGCUGGGAUGGUAACGCAGCGCACAGUGGCGGAGAGCUCAGAGACUAGGCCUGUCUGGAGGGUCCUGUAUGUGAGCUGAUCAUCCACCUCACAGCAGCCUUUCAGCUAUCACCCUCAUUUUACAGGUUUCCAAGGCAACGGUGGCAGCAAUUCUGUGAAUAGCUCUUCCAUUUUUCCUUCAAGACUUUCAGGCUGUGAAAUUGUUUUGCUUUCAAAAACUAUUCUUUCUUUAAAAAAUAAUACAUGCAUUUAGAUUCAUUGUGAGAAGAUCUUUAUAAGUUAGGCAUAUUUCCAGGAUGUUAGUCCAAUAAGUAAACAGUUUUGCUACUAACAGGCUGUGCAAUUUUGGGUAAGCCAGUUAUCCUCCGUAAGUUUCAAUUCCUUCAUCUACAAAAUAUAAACAAAAAUCAUAUCUCUACAAUAGGGUUGUGAGAGAUGUAUGUGAAAUGUUUGGCACAAUCUAUGGCUUGUGAUUAUGAUUAGUGAUUGUUCUGAAUGAAAAUUUGGUCAGUUGGGAUGCCAGGUGAGGUUGUAACUGUUCAAAAUGAAGGCAAUGCCCCUUCAGCAUCAACAAAGUCUGUAGACAUGCCCCUCCUAUUAAUCCUGAUAUUGAAAAUGUGUGUUUUCUCAUUUUUUCCUAAGUGUUUGUUUGUAUCUUUGUAUUUAAAGUACAUCAUGUAUAAAUAGCAUGUAUUUGAGUUUUGUUUUGUUUACUCAAUAAAAAGUUCUGCC
rnacentral:lncRNA from 1 species